GGUAACUCCUAAGUGGUAAAGCUGGCCUAAUUAGUCUGUUUAAUCUUCUCCCAUAAAUCACUCCUCCCCAUCCCCUGCAGACUAUCGGCAGCAUCUGAAGUCAUUAGUUAAUUUAAACCUGGGAGUUCACACGUUGGCUUAUCGGAGCCAUCUCCUUUCCCCGCUAAGCGCUUGCUCGGUGCAUCCCCGGCUGCUGCCGAUCCGAUCUGCGCCCGCUUUGAAGCCGUGAUGGGCUGCCAGCAGGCGAGGUGCCGCCUGCUCCCCUGCCUGCUUCUCUGCCUGCUGGCAGGUGGGAGGGGAGAUGGAGAUCCUGCGUCUCCCCUUCCCCGCGCUCCCCGUUUUUUGAACUUCUCUGACUCAUCCAUUUGAUUUGAUGUUUUCACCUUUGUUUUACAAAUAGCAGUUUGCCUGAAUGCUGGAAGGAGAAGGCAGCUCCGAUGCUGCUGCAGCUUCCCCGGCUGCCAGGGGAAGUAAUAGAAUCUUAGAAUCAUCCAGGUUGGAAAAGAUCACCUGUAAGACCGUCAAGUCAGGUCUUCAUGUGUUUGUUCAUGAAAUGAAAGACGGCUGGGUGAGCCUGCUUUCUACUCCUCUGGCCUGCCUUCUGCAGCCCACAGGGGAUCUUUCCAUCUCGGGAUGAGGCCUCCCCUCAUGUCUCACAGGCACCCAAACACGGCCUGAGUGGGGACACAUCCUGGCCAGAUGUCAAACCUGUGCCCUGGCUGCGAGGGUGACGCGGGGCAAGGCGCUGGUACAAGCCCGUGCACUCGCAGGCACCACGGACCGUGCUGGGUACAGCACCGGGGGACACGGACCCUGUCCGGGUGUGCUCGGGUUGUCCCCUGUCCCCAGGCUGCCGCUCCCCUGCUGCCGUGGCCGGAAGACAUGAGCAGCUCUCGAUUAAAGGAUAUUUCAAGCAGACGGAGGGGCUGCGCCAGCCGGGGGAACGCGCAGCAGGAAGGGACGGGGACAGGACUGAGAGACCAGAGGAGAAGACAAUUUACACUGGAAUGUAAAUACAGCAGCAGCACGCUGCUCCGCAGGGCGUGUCACCCCCCUCCUGGCUCUGGAACACGGGUUAGAGCUGCCCAGGACGGCUCAGACCACAUCCCUGCCGUGCCAGAACCUGCAUCUCACCUGGGCACCGCGCAGAGGUGAGGAGGAGGAGGAGGGUCAGGGGCUGAUGCAGCCGCCUGGUGCCACUGCUGCUGUUCCUGCCGUCCGCGCUGAGGCACCGCAGAUUACACAUCCACUGCAGAGGGAUGGAGCCCCAGCCCUCCCUAAUAAUCCUAAGAAUCAAUAGCAGUGUCAUGGAUGCGUGGAACAACAGCUCCGAGUUGAGAGGGAACUUCUCAGCAGGAUUAACUCUGAAACCCAGUGACAACACUUCAAGUAUCUGUGCUAUCCCUGUCCCUGCUGCUCCUUCCAGCAGAUAGUUCUUACUAAUGAGCUUUACUCAACAGCACUAGAUUUGUCCGUAAAAGCAAAUUCCAGGGAUCAAAAAAUAAGGUUUAAGAUGCAAAUAUUCUGUGAGAUAUCGAGAUUUAAAUGAUUUUGGUGGGGUUUUUUGUUUUUUUUUUCCUUUUGGUCCUUACUCCAGGGAUAAUUUUUAAAGGAAGCAAGGAGAGAUCCUCUGGAAUGUGAGAGAGAGAACAUUUUUUAGAAGAAAAGACCAAAUAACAUAAAAUCAUUGUUUUGGUUUGGGUUGGUUUGGGGCUUUUUUAGCUUAUAACCAUGGAAUUUGGAAAAGUUCCCUUCUGUUCACCCAGGGCAGUGUAAGCACAGAUGUCCCCACAUGGGGCACAGGUUGGGCUCAUCCCCUCCUCUCCAGUCACAGAAUAUCAGUGGAGAAGCCAUGGGCAUGUGGGUGGGUGCCAGGACUGGUGGCACAGGGUGAAACCCAGCCAGCCACCUCACUGCCCAGAGCGAAGAAAGCUCAGCAGAUGAGUGGUCUGUGGCAGGUGACAAAGAGACUCAAAAAAGUCCCUUUUUAAAAUGUCCAGCCCAUGCUGGUAGUGGGCUCCUCCUCUGUCCUGAGGCUGGACCGCAGUGCAAGGACCUGAUCUCAGACACAGAUGCUGGGAGAAUUCACACCCCAAGACAGGUUGUUUUUUAGUUUUCUUUAAUCUUCCACAUAGCUUUUUUUUCUUUUCAUUUUGAGGCAGGAGUACUAACUGCUAAGGAUGCAUAUGGAAUUUGAAUAUGAAUGAUAAGAACAGCUGUGUAUAUCUAUUAUGAAUGAACAUAAACAGAAAUGUAUAAACUGAGAUUUUGGGGCUUUUGGAAGAA